rnacentral:rRNA from 1 species
GACGAACGCUGGCGGCGUGCUUAACACAUGCAAGUCGAACGGAAAGGCCCUGCUUUUGUGGGGUGCUCGAGUGGCGAACGGGUGAGUAACACGUGAGUAACCUGCCCUUUACUUUGGGAUAACUUCAGGAAACUGGUGCUAAUACCGGAUAGGAGCUCCUGCUGCAUGGUGGGGGUUGGAAAGUUUCGGCGGUUGGGGAUGGACUCGCGGCUUAUCAGCUUGUUGGUGGGGUAGUGGCUUACCAAGGCUUUGACGGGUAGCCGGCCUGAGAGGGUGACCGGCCACAUUGGGACUGAGAUACGGCCCAGAAUCCUACGGGAGGCAGCAGUGGGGAAUAUUGCACAAUGGGCGGAAGCCUGAUGCAGCAACGCCGCGUGCGGGAUGACGGCCUUCGGGUUGUAAACCGCUUUCGCCUGUGACGAAGCGUGAGUGACGGUAAUGGGUAAAGAAGCACCGGCUAACUACGUG